UUAAAGACUGUGAUAGGGAUCAGUAAGCUGGAGUAUUUUCAGAGAGCUGCCGGUUGGUGGAAGGCAGUAGAUAUUAAGGCUGAAACUCACCCUGGAGUUGCCAACCGAAAUCUUCGGAAAGUAGAUUUGGCCGGAAGCCCACCGUAAAAAGGGAUAGGGUAUGUUAGUACCCGAAAGAGUGGAUAUUUGGGUUAUUUAUUUUUUGUUAACCUUUUAUAUCAAUUAGAGUGGUACCGCGGAAGCUUAAACCUUUCGUCUCUAUG
rnacentral:ncRNA from 1 species